UGGGGAAUAUUGGACAAUGGGCGAAAGCCUGAUCCAGCCAUGCCGCGUGUGUGAAGAAGGUCUUCGGAUUGUAAAGCACUUUAAGUUGGGAGGAAGGGCAGUAAGCGAAUACCUUGCUGUUUUGACGUUACCGACAGAAUAAGCACCGGCUAACUCUGUGCCAGUAGCCGCGGUAAUACAGAGGGUGCAAGCGUUAAUCGGAAUUACUGGGCGUAAAGCGCGCGUAGGUGGUUCGUUAAGUUGAAUGUGAAAGCCCCGGGCUCAACCUAGGAACUGCAUCCAAAACUGGCGAGCUAGAGUAGGGCAGAGGGUGGUGGAAUUUCCUGUGUAGCGGUGAAAUGCGUAGGUAUAGGACGGAACACCAGUGGCGAAGGCGACCACCUGGGCUCAUACUGACACUGAGGUGCGAAAGCGUGGGGAGCAAACAGG
rnacentral:rRNA from 1 species